rnacentral:rRNA from 1 species
UACGUAGGGUGCGAGCGUUGUCCGGAUUUAUUGGGCGUAAAGGGCUCGUAGGUGGUCGAUCGCGUCGGAAGUGUAAUCUUGGGGCUUAACCCUGAGCGUGCUUUCGAUACGGGUUGACUUGAGGAAGGUAGGGGAGAAUGGAAUUCCUGGUGGAGCGGUGGAAUGCGCAGAUAUCAGGAGGAACACCAGUGGCGAAGGCGGUUCUCUGGGCCUUUCCUGACGCUGAGGAGCGAAAGCGUGGGGAGCGAACAG